rnacentral:rRNA from 1 species
CACGUAGGGCGCAAGCGUUGUCCGGAAUUAUUGGGCGUAAAGAGCUCGUCGGCGGUCUGUUGCGUCUGCUGUGAAAACCCGGGGCUUAACCCCUGGCUUGCAGUGGAUACGGACAGACUAGAGGUAGGUAGGGGAGAAUGGAAUUCCCGGUGUAGCGGUGAAAUGCGCAGAUAUCGGGAGGAACACCGGUGGCGAAGGCGGCAUCCUGGACCAACACUGACACUGAGGAGCGAAAGCCAGGGGAGCAAACGGG